GGAAGGAUGGACGAGCAAGGCAAGUCGCCGUACUGAUAAUGCGGUUGUCCGAAAGGGCACGGGGGUUCGAAUCCCCCUCCUUCCG
rnacentral:tRNA from 2 species